rnacentral:rRNA from 1 species
GACGAACGCUGGCGGCGUGCUUAACACAUGCAAGUCGAACGAAGAGCGAUGGCAGCUUGCUUCUAUCAAUCUUAGUGGCGAACGGGUGAGUAACGAGUAAUCAACCUGCCCUUCAGAGGGGGACACCAGUUGGAAACGACUGCUAAUACCGCAUACGAUCUGACCUCGGCAUCGAGGGUAGAUGAACGGUGGCCUCUACAUGUAAGCUAUCACUGCAGGAGGGGGUUGCGUCUGAUUAGCACGUUGGAGCGGUAACGGCCCACGUUGGCGAGGAUGAGUAGCACCACUGCUAGGACGAGCAGCCGCAUUGAGACGGUGACACGCCCCAUAGGGCUACGGGAGCCAGCAGUGGGGAUUCUGGCGCCAGGAACGAAGGACUGUCGGAGCAACGCCGCAUGAGUGAUGACGGCCUUCGCGUUGUAGAGCUCGGUUAAUCGGGACGAAAGGCCUUUUUGCUAAUAGUGAGAAGGAUUGACGGUACUGGAAUAGAAAGCCACGGCUAACUACGUG